rnacentral:rRNA from 1 species
CCUACGGGUGGCAGCAGUGAGGAAUAUUGGUCAAUGGCCGGAAGGCUGAACCAGCCAUGCCGCGUGAAGGUCAGUGCCCUAUGGGCGUUAAACUUCUUUUGUGCGGGAGCAAUAAUGGUCACUUUUGGCCAGACGAGAGUACCGUACGAAUAAGCAUCGUCUAACUCCGUGCCAGCAGCCGCGGUAAUACGGGGGAUGCAAGCGUUAUCCGGAUUUAUUGGGUUUAAAGGGUGCGUAGGCUGUGAGGUAAGUCAGCGGUGAAAUUCCCCCGCUCAACGGGGUGAAGUGCCAUUGAUACUGCCUUGCUUGAAUGCGGAUGCGGUGGGAGGAAUGUGUGGUGUAGCGGUGAAAUGCAUAGAUAUCACACAGAACACCGAUUGCGAAGGCAUCUCGCGAAUCCGCGAUUGACGCUGAUGCACGAAAGCGUGGGUAUCAAACAGGAUUAGAUACCCGGGUAGUC